rnacentral:misc_RNA from 1 species
UACAGAGGGUGCAAACGUUGUUCGGAAUUACUGGGCAUAAAGCGCACGUAGGCGGUCCUGUAAGUGUGGAGUGAAAUCCCACGGCUCAACCGUGGAAUUGCUUCGCAUACUGCAGGACUCGAGGACGGUAGGGGAGAGCGGAACUCCUGGUGGAGCGGUGAAAUGCGUAGAUAUCAGGAGGAACACCGGUGGCGAAGGCGGCUCUCUGGUCCGUUUCUGACGCUGAGGUGCGAAAGCCAGGGUAGCGAACGGG